AUUGAACGCUGGCGGCAGGCCUAACACAUGCAAGUCGAGCGGAUGAGGGAAGCUUGCUUCCCGAUUUAGCGGCGGACGGGUGAGUAAUGCCUAGGAAUCUGCCUAUUAGUGGGGGAUAACGUUCCGAAAGGAACGCUAAUACCGCAUACGUCUUACGGGAGAAAGUGGGGGAUCUUCGGACCUCACGCUAAUAGAUGAGCCUAGGUCGGAUUAGCUAGUUGGUGGGGUAACGGCUCACCAAGGCGACGAUCCGUAGCUGGUCUGAGAGGAUGAUCAGCCACACUGGAACUGAGACACGGUCCAGACUCCUACGGGAGGCAGCAGUGGGGAACAUUGGACAAUGGGCGAAAGCCUGAUCCAGCCAUGCCGCGUGUGUGAAGAAGGUCUUCGGAUUGUAAAGCACUUUAAGUUGGGAGGAAGGGUUGUAAGCUAAUAUCUUGCAGCUUUGACGUUACCAACAGAAUAAGCACCGGCUAACUCUGUGCCAGCCGCCGCCGUAAUAC
rnacentral:rRNA from 1 species